AGUCCCUCAUAGAUCUGAUGAACGUGCUGUUGUUCGCAGCCAACCAAUCAACAUGGGAAGAAAAACAGGAUAUGAAGGCAGCACCAUAGUUCUUGAAAAUAAAUCAGAUUAUAUCAAGAAGCAUCUCAAGUGUUCUGUACAUGGAACCUGAUUUCAAGUAUACUACAGAGUCGAUAGAUGUAAAAACAGAUUUAUUACCUGUACAAUUCGACACUGGAAAUAAUUCAAACACAAGUAUUGCUAAUUCUACAGAAUCAGCAGAACCAGAAUACUUCACUGACAUGGAGAAACUGCAGGUUUUCUCAUUUAAAAACAAAGCUAUUGUGUCUAUGCUUUCAGCAAAAGAACUAAAUCCAAG